AUUGAACGCUGGCGGCAUACCUUACACAUGCAAGUCGAACGGUAACAGGUCUUCGGAUGCUGACGAGUGGCGAACGGGUGAGUAAUACAUCGGAACGUGCCUAGUAGUGGGGGAUAACUACUCGAAAGAGUGGCUAAUACCGCAUGAGAUCUACGGAUGAAAGCAGGGGAUCGCAAGACCUUGUGCUACUAGAGCGGCCGAUGGCAGAUUAGGUAGUUGGUGGGAUAAAAGCUUACCAAGCCGACGAUCCGUAGCUGGUCUGAGAGGACGAUCAGCCACACUGGGACUGAGACACGGCCCAGACUCCUACGGGAGGCAGCAGUGGGGAAUUUUGGACAAUGGGCGAAAGCCUGAUCCAGCAAUGCCGCGUGCAGGAUGAAGGCCUUCGGGUUGUAAACUGCUUUUGUACGGAACGAAAAGGCCCGGGUUAAUACCCUGGGGUCAUGACGGUACCGUAAGAAUAAGCACCGGCUAACUACGUGCCAGCCGCCGCGGUAA
rnacentral:rRNA from 1 species